rnacentral:rRNA from 1 species
AUUGAACGCUGGCGGAAUGCUUUACACAUGCAAGUCGAACGGUAGAGGGGGCAACCCCUCGAGAGUGGCGAACGGGUGAGUAAUAUAUCGGAACGUGCCCAGUCGUGGGGGAUAACGUAGCGAAAGUUACGCUAAUACCGCAUACGAUCUAAGGAUGAAAGCGGGGGAUCGCAAGACCUCGCGCGAUUGGAGCGGCCGAUAUCAGACUAGGUAGUUGGUGGGGUAAAGGCUCACCAAGCAAACGAUCUGUAGCUGGUCUGAGAGGACGACCAGCCACACUGGAACUGAGACACGGUCCAGACUCCUACGGGAGGCAGCAGUAGGGAAUUUUGGACAAGGGACGCAAGUCUGAUCCAGCCAUCCCGCGUGCAGGAUGAAGGCCCUCGGGUUGUAAACUGCUUUCGUACGGAACGAAAAGGUCUCUCUUAAUACGGGGGACUCAUGACGGUACCGUAAGAAUAAGCACCGGCUAACUACGUGCCAGCCGCCGCCGUAA